CCGUUAAGUUGUACUUUGACCUGGAGUUUUCGUUCACGACGAUAACAACGUUUACAGUGAUGACUGUGGGAUAAAAAAGUGAUUCUGUUUGAAGAUGUUUGAAUCGAUUGGACGUUUGAUUACAUUUAUUUAUCGGCUGUUUUCUAUUCUAAAGGAGUCACACUGCUAAACUGCAAGAACUGUCUCAUCACAACUUGCACACCGAGCUUCGCGACGUUCCCGAGUCUUCUCGUCCAC